CAUAGAUAGAGGCUGGGGACUGGGAACUUAAUGAAUUCACAUAAGUGGGAUGAAUCCUACCAAGUGAUCACUGCCUUCUCUACUGAGAUGCUAAACUUACAUUUUCAGUUCUGCUCUGCCUGGUAGAGCUUUAAGUCAUCAAGGGGAUGUUGUCUCUCAGCACUCUGGUACUAUGUUGCUCUAAGGAAGACUGGCUUCGAUGCUGUUUAAGUCCAGUAAGGCAGAGGGAGUCAACGGCAGCUGUGGACAGAUACAGAUGAAGCAUGAUAGAAGACAGAAAAUGAAGGGGCCGUGAAGAUGAGCAUUGGAAGGAAAGAGGCCCUUCCUCCUAGGCUCUAGUCUCCCAUUAUAGUGAAGCCUCCCAGAAAUACAGAAUGCAACUCCCAGAGUAUCUGUCUACACACUCUGCUUCCCCUUAUCACAUAGGGACCAACUUUACCUGAAUUGAGACAUUAUAAAAGCAAGGCCUUCGAUGGUGGGAUGUAUGGAUGGGACUUUGGGACUACUGUGACUAGUUCCACAUCAUGACUGAAGAUAGCAUCCAGCUGCUGAUGAGCUCAACCACCCUGGAUGCUUAAGGAAUUUGAACUGAGAAAAAAAAAUCUGUAUCACAGUUCUGAGAAGUAUUGGAAGUAGUGGAAGAUAAGCAUCUUGGGAUAUUUACUCUGAGACAUUUAAAAGACACGUUUCCAUUAUUUCUA